CUGGAGACACACCUGUGGCGCAUCAAGAGAACUGAUUCUGUGGAUAUUUAAGAAGCAGCGAGUCGUUGCCUGAGUGUUUGUUUUACCUGGUUUUGCCUGAGGUUCUCAAGAACGGAGUUUAUACUAACUCCUGCGAACCCCCCGCCCGUCUGCUUCUCCAAGACGCCAUUGGUAUUACCAAUUGGUUGCCUUCCCUGAGAACUCCCUUCCUGGUCCUUUGUUCUCUGUGGAUUCAGCAGUACGUACUUGGUCGUGCCCGAAGCCGCCCAGCUUCUCAUCCUCCGGACCUUUGUCAGCCGUCAGCUCGCCCUCCACACAGCCAUCUUACCUGUCCGUCCUCCCACGGCCCCUUGGUUCUCCUCGCCGUCUUCGGAUAUCUGUCUACUCCAACAAGUACUCACUCUGCUCUAAAUGGCUGKUCUGGUGGUUCCGAUCCUGAUUCCUGCUCCACACUCACUCCCUUUCCCUUUACAAUAAACCAUA